rnacentral:lncRNA from 1 species
GGGCCAGGACUAUGAGAUUUUCUACAUAUAGAAUCAUGUCGUCUGUUAACAGGGACAGUUUGACCUCCUCUCUCCGUAUUUUGAUGCCUUUUAUUUCUUUCUCUUGCCUUAUUGCUCUGGCCAGGACUUUCAACAUUAUGUUGAAUAGGAGCAGUGGUGAGAGAGGGCAUCCUUGUCUUGUGCAAGUUUUCAAGGGGGAAACUUUCAGCUUUUGCCCAUUCAGUAUAAUGUUAGCUAUGGGUUUGUCACAGAUGGCUCUUAUUAUUUUGAAGUAUGCUCCUUUAAUGCCUAGCUUAUUGAGGGUUAU